rnacentral:rRNA from 1 species
CCUACGGGAGGCAGCAGUGGGGAAUAUUGCACAAUGGGCGCAAGCCUGAUGCAGCCAUGCCGCGUGUGUGAAGGAGGCCUUCGGGUUGUAAAGCACUUUCAGCGGGGAGGAAGGCGGUGAGGUUAAUAACCUCAUCGAUUGACGUUACCCGCAGAAGAAGCACCGGCUAACUCCGUGCCAGCAGCCGCGGUAAUACGGAGGGUGCAAGCGUUAAUCGGAAUUACUGGGCGUAAAGCGCACGCAGGCGGUCUGUCAAGUCGGAUGUGAAAUCCCCGGGCUCAACCUGGGAACUGCAUUCGAAACUGGCAGGCUAGAGUCUUGUAGAGGGGGGUAGAAUUCCAGGUGUAGCGGUGAAAUGCGUAGAGAUCUGGAGGAAUACCGGUGGCGAAGGCGGCCCCCUGGACAAAGACUGACGCUCAGGUGCGAAAGCGUGGGGAGCAAACAGGAUUAGAUACCCGUGUAGUC